GUUAUAGGGUCAAGCGAACAAGUGCAUGUGGUGGAUGCCUUGGCGAUCACAGGCGAUGAAGGACGCGGUAGCCUGCGAAAAGCUCCGGGGAGCUGGCAAACAAGCUUUGAUCCGGAGAUGUCCGAAUGGGGAAACCCACUCCUAAUGGAGUAUCCGUAGCUGAAUACAUAGGCUACGUGAAGCGAACGCGGUGAACUGAAACAUCUAAGUAACCGCAGGAAAAGAAAUCAACCGAGAUUCCCAGAGUAGUGGCGAGCGAAAUGGGAUGAGCCUGUACUCUUUAUCUGUAUUGUUAGUCGAACG
rnacentral:rRNA from 1 species